rnacentral:lncRNA from 1 species
AAAAAUAGAAUAAUGAAAGCUAAUUUAAGCGCCGACAUACAAAAUUAGUAAACUUAUUUCUCAUCUAACCUUAAUUAUAGUACCGAUUGAGGCUUAGUUCGAUUUGUAUGAAUAUUAUUGUUAAUAUAGUUAGAUAUGAGUUGAGUAUACUUUAAGAUAUUAUCCUCUUAUUUAUGGGUUAUAAAAGAACUAUGGUUAAUUUUAGAUAUUGGGUCAAAUAGAGGUGGAUACAAGUGUGGCUAGCAG